GACGAACGCUGGCGGCGUGCUUAACACAUGCAAGUCGAACGAAAAGAGGGAAAGAGCUUGCUCUUUCCGGAAUUGAGUGGCAAACGGGUGAGUAACACGUAAACAACCUGCCUUCAGGAUGGGGACAACAGACGGAAACAACUGCUAAUACCGAAUAAGUUCCAAGGGCCGCAUGGCCCAUGGAAGAAAAGGUGGCCUCUACCUGUAAGCUAUCGCCUGAAGAGGGGUUUGCGUCUGAUUAGCUGGUUGGAGGGGUAACGGCCCACCAAGGCGACGAUCAGUAGCCGGUCUGAGAGGAUGAACGGCCACACUGGAACUGAGACACGGUCCAGACUCCUACGGGAGGCAGCAGUGGGGAAUCUUCCGCAAUGGGCGAAAGCCUGACGGAGCAACGCCGCGUGAGUGAUGACGGCCUUCGGGUUGUAAAACUCUGUGAUCCGGGACGAAAAGGCAGAGUGCGAAGAACAAACUGCAUUGACGGUACCGGAAAAGCAAGCCACGGCUAACUACGUG
rnacentral:rRNA from 1 species